CCACGGCCCUCGCCGCUGGCGCGCGUCCCACCACCACCACCUCCCAUAGCUAUCGUUGCCCCCCUUCGCCGGAGCGCCCCCCGCCACCACCACCUCCUAACGCCACCAGCACCACCUCCUCAUCCCCGUCUUCCUUCCCGCGCUCCGGCCGUCUUCCUCCCCGCAAUCCGUCCGCCUCCCUCCCCGCGCUCCGUCCACCUUCCUCCCCGAGAUCCGUCCGCCUUCUCCCCUGAUAUCCCAUGGCUGUACGGCCGUCGGCCAACCCCUCCAUCUGUAACUAAGGGCAUUGGGCCGCCCUCCAUGCCGGGGUGGCCCUGCUAGCCAUCAGCGGGGGAAGCGGAGUGGCUUCCAUGGAGGGGGUGCGGACGAGUUCGUCCUAGGCGUGCACAUCCUCGGGAAGUCCAUCUGCAAUAUGGGCACCUCGCUGAGAUCUCAUAGUGCUCGUCCCAGACUACUCUCCGAAGCCACUCGAGGUGGAGAAUACAUAGCAGGAUCUGCCCCAGCAAAUUAACCACAUGUCGCCGGAGGCACUCUGCCUCUCCUAUGCACCCCCUGCUUCCAUGUCCCUCCACCACCGCCCUCCCUUAACCCUCUGCAGUUAUUGGCAACGCGGAUGUGGCCCCGCACUGUAUGGACGCGCCGCUAUCGCUCUGUCAUCGCGUACAGAGAGUUCAACGCCGCAACCCCCCUCCGUUCAAUCUCGCCGCCAUGGGUGUGCCCCACUCAACUCCCUCGCCUGUGCUUCCGUGGCGUAACAAUGCAACCUGCAGGAGGAACCGUGGGGGGUCGAGGACGUCCAGCUCGGCAGUCCAACUCGGCAUGAUUCACGUCAUCGUUGGCCCCAUGUUCGCUGGCAAGAUCACCUUGCUUCUCCGCCGGCACCGUUAGGUACUCACCCCGUCCCGUCUAUUGCUUAGUGCUUCGUUUUGCGUUGCUAAAAACAAAAAACAAGGAAGUUCAAAUUGAAAAUAAUGAGAAGUUAGACGUUUAAAAAAAUCAGAAGUUAUUUUAGUGAAUCUCUAUUGAAAAUUAGCUCACGUUUUAGUGUAUCAGAAGUGGUUUGUACUUUUUUGCUUGACGCGUGUUCAUGAGCAGUUCAAAACAUGUACUUGUUCCAUGGUUUGCUAUAACACUUGUUAGAUUGCUCUCCAAAAAAAGUCAUGUAUUCAUGAAUUUGCUACUGGUGUAGCAGCCCUGUAUGUAUUUUAUCAUCAGUUCAUAAAGAAAAGCUGAAACAGUGUAGUGUGCGUGUUAAAAAAAUAAUUCAGUUUUAUAUUGUUUGGUAGUUUUCACUUCAUAGAAAAUUUCUAACAGUUCGGUCAAAAUAAAGUUUGCAUAGUUUAUACUCGAGAGGUAGUAAUGUUCAAUGACAGAAAAACAUCAGUUCAAAUAUAUAUGCAGGAGGUUGAGAGCCGAAAAACUGAUUUUUUAUGUGUUUAAUUUUUCAGCUGUAAAGAUAGAAAUUUUUCUCUCUUGUCUCUCUUGGUUCUCAGGAAAAUUGGGCUGGGAGUCAACAAGCCGGGCAAAAAUGUGUUGCUACUUCUACAAUAUCAAAGAUGAUGAGAUUCUAGUCUUGCUCGUCGAGGACCCAAUCACAGGGCAGUCUGUCGCUACUGCAAUGCAUUAGGAAAAGUUCAAGUUUCCUAUUAGAUUUAGUUCUAUUGGAAAAGGGCUGCCCUCACCGUGCUUAUCCCCGUCACCGGAGGGCCUGCGUGCCGGGGUUGAGCCACAGUCGACACUUCCGGUCGUGCCCUACCACUAAUCAAUCUUCUCGCCUAACCCCCUUCCUCCCCGAUCUGCUACUGAUAUACCCCAACUACCACUAGAGCUUCGGGGAGCACUCCUCCGUCCAAGUUGAGCAUUGGGUCCCGUCCGAGUAGAGCACUGCACCCCGUCCAAGUCCCCAUCUAAUUUUGAACGUUCAAUUUUGUCAUGUUGGAAUAAUAUAGCAUUGAGCACCCUACAUUUUUUUUUGCUUGAGCGUUGAGCAAACAGUGGAGCCUGCUGGAGGAGUCAUGGGGUCGAGGACCUCCUGUUCAACAGUACAACUUCUUGUUUCGUGGCCGGUCGCUCAAGGAGCUGUGUGCAGGCCGCAGUUCACACAUCCAUAUUAGAGAGAUUCAUUGGACAUAAUUUUGCAAGGUCAGAAAAAGCAAUUGCUCAGUACAUCACAGCAGCUCUUCGAUGCAAAAAGGAUGGCUCUUCUCAAGUCAGCAGCUAACCAAAUUGGCAACUUCAGGGUAGCUCAGUCAAAUAUGGCAACUGUGCAGUAAACAGUUUUAGUUGAGAAAUCAGCAAGCGCCAUGCUCAGUCCAACACGGUGGCUUAAGGGUGGCCGAGUUUGUCGCGACCAUCAGUUUGGAGACCUGCGUCACUGCGCAUGUCGCUACCAUGGCCCCCUGUGUCACCGCGUGCUUCGUCAACAGCCUCCUGCACAAGGAAAAGCAACAGGAGUAGAGGCGUCUGAGAUGCUCUGUUCUAGGGAGGUGGCUGAUUAUGUUAGUUAGUUUGUAAUACUUUGGCCGCAGUGUACUUAUAUAUCUUUUUCUGGACGGAGCAGAUCAGAGCUUAUGUCAGUACGAACUUUGAUUGUGAUGGUACUACAAUCUCUAUAAAAACACCAGCAAUCCAUUUUUACUGGUACUUACCUUUUAUACAA